rnacentral:lncRNA from 1 species
GACUCCUACCUCACACAGGCAGGCAGGCAGGCAGAGGACUCCUACCUCACGCAGUCAGGCAGGCAGGCAGAGGACUCCUACCUCACGCAGGCAGGCAGGCAGGCAGGCAGAGGACUCCUACCUCACGCAGGCAGGCAGGCAGGCAGAGGACUCCUACCUCACGCAGGCAGGCAGGCAAGCAGAGGACUCCUACCUCACGCAGGCAGGCAGGCAGGCAGGCAGGCAGGCAGGCAGAGGACUCCUACCUCACACAGGCAGGCAGGCAGAGGACUCCUACCUCACACAGGCAGGCAGGCAGAGGACUCCUACCUCACACAGGCAGGCAGGCAGGCAGAGGACUCCUACCUCACACAGGCAGGCAGGCAGGCAGGCAGGCAGGCAGAGGACUCCUACCUCACGCAGGCAGGCAGGCAGGCAGGCAGGCAGGCAGGCAGGCAGGCAGGCAGGCAGGCAGGCAGGCAGGCAGGCAGGCAGAGGACUCCUACCCCACACAGGCAGGCAGGCAGAGGACUCCUACCGCAUACAGGCAGGCAGGCAGAGGACUCCUACCUCACACAGGCAGGCAGGCAGAGGACUCCUACCUCACACAGGCAGGCAGGCAGAGGACUCCUACCUCACACAGGCAGGCAGGCAGGCAGGCAGGCAGGCAGGCAGGCAGGCAGGCAGAGGACUCCUACCUCACACAGGCAGGCAGGCAGGCAGGCAGGCAGGCAGAGGACUCCUACCUCACGCAGGCAGGCAGGCAGGCAGGCAGGCAGGCAGGCAGGCAGGCAGGCAGGCAGGCAGGCAGGCAGGCAGGGGACUCCUAAUUCACGCAGGCAGGCAGGCAGGCAGAGGACUCCUACCUCACGCAGGCAGGCAGGCAGGCAGGCAGGCAGGCAGGCAGGCAGGCAGAGGACUCCUACCUCACGCAGGCAGGCAGGCAGGCAGGCAGGCAGGCGACUCCUACCUCACAUAGGCAGGCAGAGGACUCCUACCUCACAUAAGGAAGACAGAGGUAACCAGGGAGAAAGCAGGAGAAUAUAA